CCGCUCUCCAGUCGCUAGGACAUGGGGAGGCAGAGAGACGCUUGUGGACGGCAUCUGGGGAAGCAGUUGGCUGUGGGUUGCUAGGCAAAAAUAAACAUCAGAGACACCUCCCAUUUCCUUACAACUGGAAGCCUUUUCCCCACGCGGCCACUGGGAGAGACACACCUUCCUCUCUGCUCUCUGCUGCGAGGGAGCGACACCUCUAAAUUCUCUCGUCCUCUGGUCACCGGUUUUGCCAUUUCAACAGUUACGAACGAGAGAGGAAAGCUGGACAAAUCUCAGAUGACAGGGCAGAAAGUUAUGCUGUGGAUUUCUUUUCUGAGAGGUAUCUAGUUUUUGAAGUUCUCCUGGGGAUAAGGGUCCAUUCCACUCCACCCAGCAGCGUGCGUCUUCAAGCCCCUUGCAGGACCCAGCUUGCAGGCCCAAACUAGUGCAGACUCCAAAGAGAAGGGAGCCACCUCCUGCGGAGUUCCAUCGCCUCUACUGUUUGCAAAUUGUCAUAGCAACCUCCCACAGCGAUCACCUUCAGCUUCACACAAAGCCAAAAGUUGAGUAUUUCAAGCUAAUCUGCCCCCUUUGCCUCAGGGGAAUGGAAAAAGAACAACAACAACAAAAAGAAGUAUCCAUGGCAGUUGAAGUGGGGGUUCUUCUAAACAUGACCAC
rnacentral:lncRNA from 1 species